AUGCUCACUUUGGCAGCACAUACACUAAAACUGGAAUGAUGUAGAGAAGAUGAGCGUGGUACCUGUGCAAGGAUGACACACAUUUGUGAAGUGUUCCAUAUUAAA
ensembl:snRNA U6 U6 spliceosomal RNA